rnacentral:rRNA from 1 species
UACGUAGGGGGCUAGCGUUAUCCGGAAUUACUGGGCGUAAAGGGUGCGUAGGUGGUUUCUUAAGUCAGAGGUGAAAGGCUACGGCUCAACCGUAGUAGGCCUUUGAAACUGGGAAACUUGAGUGCAGGAGAGGAGAGUGGAAUUCCUAGUGUAGCGGUGAAAUGCGUAGAUAUUAGGAGGAACGCCAGUUGCGAAGGCGGCUCUCUGGACUGUAACUGACACUGAGGCACGAAAGCGUGGGGAGCAAACAGGAUUAGAUACCCUGGUAGUCCCUGAG